GACGAACGCUGGCGGCGUGCUUAACACAUGCGAGUCGAGCGGUAAGGCCUUUCGGGGUACCCGAGCGGCGAACGGGUGAGUAACACGUGGGUGAUCUGCCCUGCACUUCGGGAUAAGCCUGGGAAACUGGGUCUAAUACCGGAUAUGACCUCCUAUCGCAUGGUGGGUGGUGGAAAGAUUUAUCGGUGCAGGAUGGGCCCGCGGCCUAUCAGCUUGUUGGUGGGGUAAUGGCCUACCAAGGCGACGACGGGUAGCCGACCUGAGAGGGUGACCGGCCACACUGGGACUGAGACACGGCCCAGACUCCUACGGGAGGCAGCAGUGGGGAAUAUUGCACAAUGGGCGAAAGCCUGAUGCAGCGACGCCGCGUGAGGGAUGACGGCCUUCGGGUUGUAAACCUCUUUCAGCAGGGACGAAGCGCAAGUGACGGUACCUGCAGAAGAAGCACCGGCUAACUACGUG
rnacentral:rRNA from 1 species